UACGGAGGUCGCAAGUGUUGUCCGGAAUCACUGGGCGUAAAGGGUGUGUAGGUGGUUUAAUAAGUCAGCUGUGAAAUCUUGAGGCUCAACCUCAAAAUCGCAGUCGAAACUAUUAGGCUAGAGUAUAGUAGGGGUAAAGGGAAUUUCCAGUGGAGCGGUGAAAUGCGUAGAGAUUGGAAAGAACAUCGAUGGCGAAGGCACUUUACUGGGCUAUUACUAACACUCAGAGACGAAAGCUAGGGUAGCAAAUGGG
rnacentral:rRNA from 1 species